rnacentral:rRNA from 1 species
UACCAGCACCCGAGUGGUCGGGACGAUUAUUGGGCCUAAAGCAUCCGUAGCCGGUUCUACAAGUCUUCCGUUAAAUCCACCUGCUUAACAGAUGGGCUGCGGAGGAUACUAUAGAGCUAGGAGGCGGGAGAGGCAAGCGGUACUUAGUGGGUAGGGGUAAAAUCCGUUGAUCCAUUGAAGACCACCAGUGGCGAAGGCGGCUUGCCAGAACGCACU